UACGUAGGGGGCAAGCGUUGUCCGGAAUCAUUGGGCGUAAAGAGCGUGUAGGCGCCAGAAAAGUCCGCUGUGAAAACUCGAGGCUCAACUUCGAGCUGUCGGUGGAAACUUUCUGGCUAGAGUCCGGAAGAGGAGAAUGGAAUUCCUGGUGUAGCGGUGAAAUGCGCAGAUAUCAGGAAGAACACCCGUGGCGAAGGCGGUUCUCUGGGACGGUACUGACGCUGAGACGCGAAAGCGUGGGGAGCAACAGG
rnacentral:rRNA from 1 species